AUAAUUGAAUUAUUACUAUGGCAUUAAUCACAACAUUAUUAUAUCACUUAUAUAUUAACGACUCUUAGGUUUAGUUUGGUAUUGAGGCCUAUCUAACGCUAUUAGAUAAAAUGGAGUUGAGGAAAAAAUAUAUAAGGAUAUAUUUCUGCGUUCUUUGGUGGGACCACAGAAAAUAUACCGUAACCGACUAAUCGCAAUAUGUGGAACGUAAUAUUACGUACAAAAACAAACAGAAUACUUUUCUAACAUACUUUCUCACCGCACGUAACGCAAUUUUCCCGCAAUCCCAAACGAAGCCUUAAAGAGCCAAUCAACUAUUAGAUUGUGGGGGCUUGAUUAUAAUAAUGUAGUAAAUUUGAA
rnacentral:lncRNA from 1 species